rnacentral:rRNA from 1 species
UACGAAGGGGGCUAGCGUUGCUCGGAAUCACUGGGCGUAAAGCGCACGUAGGCGGCUUUCUAAGUCAGGGGUGAAAUCCUGGAGCUCAACUCCAGAACUGCCUUUGAUACUGGAGAGCUUGAGUCCGGGAGAGGUGAGUGGAACUCCGAGUGUAGAGGUGAAAUUCGUAGAUAUUCGGAAGAACACCAGUGGCGAAGGGCGGCUCA